CGCCUCAGCCAAUCGGGUGGGGGAGCCCAAGCAGCAAUAUAAAGUAAGGAUUCUCAUCUUCCAGCCACACAGUUACCAAGAAAAGGGACUCGCUUCCUGGAGUGGCUGAAAGUGCUCUGGACGGCGGGCCAGGCCCAUCAUGGCGGACAGCGGGAGAGCCGGGCAAGAGGAAGCACCACGAGUGAGGCAGGCUGGGAGCCUCAGGGAACCAAAGUUCCGAGGGCUCUUCUCCAGCCUGAAGGCUGGGGGAAAUCCCAUUCAAUGGAGCCGAAGGAAGAUGGACACAGACUGGCUGGCCCCCAGAGCCACUUCAAGACCCUGGUCAAGCAGCACUGUGGAUGGCACGACCUCUACAGAUGAGUUUCCUGCCCUCCUAAGGAAAUGACCCCUAGACAGGUGCAGCUAAGUGGCGGAAGGAGAUAGAGAACCAGACUUGGAAUGAUGAAGAUCUGGAGGAGUUGAAUCCUGCCUCGCAUGCUUCCUAGCCAUGUAACCUGGGCAAGUCAAUUAACUUCUUCUAACCCCACUUUCCUCAUCUCUAAAAGGGGGAUCGAAUGAUAAUAUGAGGGAAAAUGUUUUGCAAACCUUAAGGUGCUAUAUAAAUGUUACCUAUUAUUGGUAAGGGCAAAUGUAGGGGCUUGAAUCCUAAGCAAUCCC
rnacentral:lncRNA from 1 species